AUUGAACGCUGGCGGUAUGCUUAACACAUGCAAGUCGAACGGUAACAGGUCUAGCUUGCUAGGCGCUGACGAGUGGCGGACGGGUGAGUAACGCGUGGGAAUCUGCCUUAUAGUGGGGGAUAGCCCGGAGAAAUUCGGAUUAAUACCGCAUACGCCCUACGGGGGAAAGCUGGGGAUCUUCGGACCUGGCGCUAUGAGAUGAGCCCGCGUUAGAUUAGCUAGUUGGUGGGGUAAAGGCCUACCAAGGCGACGAUCUAUAGCUGGUCUGAGAGGACGAUCAGCCACACUGGGACUGAGACACGGCCCAGACUCCUACGGGAGGCAGCAGUGGGGAAUAUUGCACAAUGGGCGAAAGCCUGAUGCAGCAAUACCGCGUGUGUGAAGAAGGCCUGAGGGUUGUAAAGCACUUUCAAUCGUGAAG
rnacentral:rRNA from 1 species